rnacentral:lncRNA from 1 species
AUCAUGUAGAAAGGACAGAAAGUGAGCAGGGAGCGGGGGCUUUUGUCUAUUGUUCUCCUUGUGCUACUUGAGAGAAACUGCAAUCCCAAGACUUAACAGAAUCUAAAAAUGGUUUGUCAACCAAGGUUAAUGAUUUGGGUAAGCCAGAAAAUCUUUCCAACCAGCCGAGGGGAUGGGGGAUUUCCAAAGGGAAGUCUCCCCAUCUCGAAGGAAGUAAACCGCAAGAAGAAAAGUGAGGCAGAAGGGGCAUGCCCGGUUCCAGUAGAUGGCUAUGGACACCAUUUCACCCAAAUCAAUCACCUCUGCUCUUUUUAGUCAUAAUUUCUUCAUUUGUAUUACAUAUGGUGUAUGGGUUUGAUGAGGUCAUGGUGUCAUAUAUUGGGAAUUGUUUCUGUGUAAAUCAUUAAGUGUAAGAAGAAACUAUGGGACUCUGAGCCUUGCUUUAGAGAAUAACAGUGGACAAACGUGUACCAUAAAAAAUAGUUUUUAACAUUCUGACUCAAGUGAAAGCUCUCAGAAUUUCACACUGUGAAUCCAUGUUUACAAACAUUACAGGUGGGCCCUCAGG